rnacentral:rRNA from 1 species
CUAAGGCUCCAGAGGAAGCCACGGCUAACUCUGUGCCAGCAGCCGCGGUAAUACAGAGGCGGCAAGCGUUGUUCGGAAUUAUUGGGCGUAAAGAGCACGUAGGCGGCCUUGCAAGUCAGUUGUGAAAGCCUUCCGCUUAACGGAAGAAUGCCAGCUGAUACUACAGGGCUUGAGUACGGGGGGGGAGAGUGGAACUUCUGGUGGAGCGGUGAAAUGCGUAGAUAUCAGAAGGAACGCCGGCGGCGAAAGCGACUCUCUGGCCCGAAACUGACGCUGAGUGUGCGAAAGCUAGGGGAGCAAGCGGGAUUAGAUACCCCGGUAGUCCUAGCCGUAAA